AGUAACGGCGAGUGAAGCGGCAACAGCUCAAAUUUGAAAUCUGGCCCCCAGGGCCCGAGUUGUAAUUUGCAGAGGAUGCUUUUGGCGCGGUGCCUUCCGAGUUCCCUGGAACGGGACGCCAUAGAGGGUGAGAGCCCCGUCUGGUCGGACACCAAGCCAGUGUAAAGCUCCUUCGACGAGUCGAGUAGUUUGGGAAUGCUGCUCUAAAUGGGAGGUAUAUGUCUUCUAAAGCUAAAUACCGGCCAGAGACCGAUAGCGCACAAGUAGAGUGAUCGAAAGAUGAAAAGCACUUUGAAAAGAGGGUUAAACAGUACGUGAAAUUGUUGAAAGGGAAGCGUUUAUGACCAGACUUGGGCCCGGUGAAUCAUCCAGCGUUCUCGCUGGUGCACUUUGCCGGGCUCAGGCCAGCAUCAGUUCGUCGCGGGGGACAAAAGCUUCGGGAACGUGGCUCCCUCGGGAGUGUUAUAGCCCGUUGCAUAAUACCCUGCGGUGGACUGAGGUUCGCGCUCCGCAAGGAUGCUGGCGUAAUGGUCAUCAGCGACCCGUCUUGAAACACGGACCAAGGAGUCGUCUUCGUAUGCGAGUGUUCGGGUGUCAAACCCCUACGCGUAAUGAAAGUGAACGCAGGUGAGAGCUUCGGCGCAUCAUCGACCGAUCCUGAUGUUCUCGGAUGGAUUUGAGUAAGAGCAUACGGGGCCGGACCCGAAAGAAGGUGAACUAUGCCUGUAUAGGGUGAAGCCAGAGGAAACUCUGGUGGAGGCUCGCAGCGGUUCUGACGUGCAAAUCGAUCGUCAAAUAUGGGCAUGGGGGGCGAAAGACUAAUCG
rnacentral:rRNA from 1 species